GGUGGAUUGGCUGAGUGGUCGAAAGCGGUGGUUUUGAAAACCAUUGACCUUCACGGGUCCGCAGGUUCGAAUCCUGUGUCCACCGCCA
rnacentral:tRNA from 2 species